AAGCAAAUAAGGGCGUAUGGGGGAUGUCUUGGCGCUAGAAGUUGAGACGUGGAAGGCUGCGAUAAGCUUGGGGUAGCUGUCAAACGAGCAUUGAUCCCAGGAUUUCUCAUCAACCCGGUGAACUGAAACAUCUAAGUAACCGGAGGAAAGGAAAGCAAAAGCGACUCCCUUAGUAGCGGCGAGCGAAACGGGAUCAGCCCGUUGACUUCAGAAAGCCAGAAGAAUCCGAUGGAAAGCGGAACCAGAGAGGGUGACAGUCCCGUAAUCGAAGGUGAAGGAUAGUCAACUUUAUGAGUAGGGCCAGCCACGUGAAAUCUGGUCUGAAGUUAGGAGGCCCACCUCCUAAGGCUAAGUACUCUCUAGCGACCGAUAGUGAAUCAAGUAGCGCGAGUGAAAGAUGAAAAGUACCCCUAUAAGGGGAGUUAAAAGUACCUGAAACCAUACGCCUACAAGCGGUCAGAGCCCUAUGUUUACAAGGGUGAUGGCGUGCCUUUUGCAUAAUGACCCGGCGAGUUACCGUCUGUGGCACGGUUAAGGCCUUCAAGGCUGUAGUCAGAGGGAAACCGAGUCUGAACAGGGCGUAUUGUCAUUGGCGGUAGACGCGAAACCUGGUGAUCUACCCAUGGGCAGGUUGAAGCGCGGGUAAGACUGCGUGGAGGACCGAACCCACUUGUGUUGAAAAAUGAGGGGAUGACCUGUGGGGAGGAGUGAAAGUCUAAUCAAACCAGGAGAUAGCUCGUUCUCUUCGAAAUAGCUUUAGGGCUAGCCUCGAGCCACUACUUAUUGGGGGUAGAGAUACUGAUUUCGACUGGGGCCCUUCCCGGGUACCCACCGUGACCAAACUCCGAAUACCAAUAAGAUUAUCUCGGGAGUCAGUCGGCGGGGGAUAAGCUCCGUCGUCGAGAGGGAAACAACCCAGAUCGCCUGCUAAGGUCCCAAAACUACACUAAGUCACAAAGGAUGUCUAAAUGCUGUGACAGUCGGGAUGUUGGCUUAGAAGCAGCCACCAUUUAAAAAGUGCGUAACAGCUUACUGGUCUAGUGAAUUCGCGCCGAAAAUGUAACGGGGCUAAGCAAUGUACCGAAGCCGCGGAGCCAUACUUUGUAUGGUUGGUAGGGGAGCGUUCCAUAUACGUUGAAGGUCUAUCGUGAGAAGGGCUGGAGUGUAUGGAAGUGAUGAUGCGGACAUGAGUAGCGAUAAACAGGGUGAGAAACCCUGUCGCCGUAAACCUAAGGGUUCCUGAGUCAAGCUAAUCUGCUCAGGGUUAGUCGGCCCCUAAGCCGAGGGCGAAAGCCGUAGGCGAUGGGAAUCAGUUUAAUAUUACUGAACCACUAGAUAGCCGUUUGACCGAAGGGGGGACGGAGAAGGAUAGCUGGGCCCGUUAUUGGAUUCGGGUGAACGUCAAUAGGCGGGAGGUGUAGGCAAAUCCGCACUUCUAUUAACGCUGAGGGGCGGGACGGUGGCCUUUUAGGCCCGUAAGUCAGUGAUUCCAUGCUUCCUAGAAAAGCCUCGUAGGGAGGUUGUCUGGUGACCGUACCGCAAACCAACACAGGUAGGUGGGCAGAGCAUGCCAAGGCGCUUGAGAAAACUCUGGCUAAGGAACUCGGCAAAAUGACACCGUAACUUCGGGAGAAGGUGUGCCCAUUUGAGUGAAGGACUUCGCGUCUGGAGCUUAGGUGGGUUGCAGAAACCAGGGGGUAGCGACUGUUUACUAAAAACACAGGUCCGUGCCAAGUCGCAAGAC
rnacentral:rRNA from 1 species